rfam:Ornithorhynchus anatinus chromosome 5, whole genome shotgun sequence.
CCCCUCUCGAGAUCACACCUGGAGAGUUUCCAGUACUCUACCAGUCUCUGCUAUGGGAGGGAGAGUCAAGCAGAGGCCUACCCAUUCCAUUCCUAGCUUGGGCAGUGGCUAGCGAGUGAAAGACAAUCUGCUACAAGU